rnacentral:rRNA from 1 species
UACGAAGGGGGCUAGCGUUGUUCGGAUUUACUGGGCGUAAAGCGCACGUAGGCGGAUUGGUCAGUUAGGGGUGAAAUCCUGGAGCUCAACUCCAGAACUGCCUUUAAUACUGCCAGUCUCGAGUCCGGAAGAGGUAAGUGGAACUCCUAGUGUAGAGGUGGAAUUCGUAGAUAUUAGGAAGAACACCAGUGGCGAAGGCGGCUUACUGGUCCGGUACUGACGCUGAGGCG